rnacentral:SRP_RNA from 1 species
GCCCGAGAGCAUAUAAUUGUAAAAACUAAAUCUUGUCAGAACCGGAAGGUAGCAGCAAUAAUGUUUCAAUACAAAAGUUAUGAUUUUCGGGUGUUU